GGUAAAAGAAAAAGUGGGGGUUGUACCUUUUGUAUCAGGGGGGCUUAAAAAUGUAGUUAGGGUCUAAUCGAUUUAAGCGGAGCUUCUUUCUUAGUCUUUAGUAGAAGUUAAAGAAUGAAGUAUUUAAGAGGUGAAAAAUGUUCGACGUUUGUGGUAUCUAAUUACUUUGUUGAUAGAAGGGUUAAGCUUUUGUAUGUUUAUGAAAAAGUGUAGUUAAGAAAACUAGGCUUUAGAUUAGCCAGGCUAAUAGGUUGUUUAAAAUAAUUUUAAAGUUGUUAUUUGUAGCGUAAAUUUAUAAGAGUCGUGCUUGUAAAUUUUAAUAAAUAAAGAUAAUGAGUCUAUUGAACAGUAGUUGGAGCCUAAAAAUGACUCAAUAAAGGUUAGAAAGUUUAACAAAAACAUUUUUAUACGUGUAAUUUAUGGUACGACCUGCCCGGUGCUUGGUUAACGGCUGCGGUAUUUUGACUGUGCUAAGGUAGCAUAAUCAUUUGUUUUUUAAUUGAAAACGAGCAUGAAAGGUUUAACUGGCUUAAUUAGUUUGUAGAAUUACAUAGAAGAUUUAAGUAAAGGUAAAAAUUCUUUUAUAACCCAGGGGACGAUAAGACCCUAUAAGCUUAACAAUAAGAAUUAUUAUUAGUAAUGAGUAAAUAUUUGUUUAACUGGGGCGGUUUUUGUAUAGGAACUAUAAGGUUAUUAGCAGAUCCUUUUAAUUAAGAUGAAAUAGAAAAGUUACUAUAGGGGUAACAGCAUAAUAUUUUUGGAGAGAUCUUAUCGAUGAAAAUGUUUGUGACCUCGAUGUUGAAUUAAAAUAUCGCUACAGGGUAGAUUUUGUAGUAGAGGGUUUGUUCAACC
rnacentral:rRNA from 1 species